rnacentral:tRNA from 1 species
UAGAUGGAUGCUCGCUGGUUGAGCGCUUAGCUGUUAACUAAGAGUUUGUGGGAUCGAGACCCGCCUGUCUAU